AAGGAAGAGAUGAGAGAGAGAGCUGAGAGAGAGAGCGACAAAGAGCCUAAGGGAGGGAACGGACGCGAGGGGACAUGAAGGUUAAAGAAAUUGGUCAAACAAGUAAGGGUUGGUACAAGAGUGUCGGGCUUAUUAGUGGGAAAGCCACAAGAAUGUAGAAGCGGUAGAAUUUUCGCCCAUGGAUGAACCGGCCAAAUCUGAGGGAGGUCAGUGGAAUUUCCACAUGGGAGAAGCUGAGGAGAAAGCCGGUGUGUGAUGAGGCUUCGGGUGUAAAGCAUUGUGUAAGAGAAGACAGCUUGAAUAGAAAUGAUUUAAGUUGACGGUACCAUACCAGAAAGGGACGGCUAAAUACGUGCAGCCAGCGCGGUAAUACGUAUGUCCGAGCGUUAUCGGGAAUUAUUGGGCGUAAGCGAGCGCAGACGGUUAUUAAAGUCUGAUGUGAAAGCCGGAAGCUCAAAUCCGGAAAUGGCAUGGAAAACUGGUUAACUUGAGUGCAGUAGAGGUAAGUGGAACUCCAUGUGUAGCGGUGGAAUGCGUAGAUAUAUGGAAGAACACCAGUGGGCGAAGGCGGCUUACUGGACUGCAACUGACGUUGAGGCUCGAAAGUGUGGUAGCAAACAGGAUUAGAUACCCUGGUAGUCCACACCGUAAACGAUGAACACUAGGUGUUAGGAGGUUUCCGCCUCUUAGUGCCGAAGCUAACGCAUUAAGUGUUCCGCCUGGGGAGUACGACCGCAAGGUUGAAACUCAAAGGAAUUGACGGGGACCCGCACAAGCGGUGGAGCAUGUGGUUUAAUUCGAAGCAACGCGAAGAACCUUACCAGGUCUUGACAUCCUUUGAAGCUUUUAGAGAUAGAAGUGUUCUCUUCGGAGACAAAGUGACAGGUGGUGCAUGGUCGUCGUCAGCUCGUGUCGUGAGAUGUUGGGUUAAGUCCCGCAACGAGCGCAACCCUUAUUGUUAGUUGCCAGCAUUCAGAUGGGCACUCUAGCGAGACUGCCGGUGACAAACCGGAGGAAGGCGGGGACGACGUCAGAUCAUCAUGCCCCUUAUGACCUGGGCUACACACGUGCUACAAUGGCGUAUACAACGAGUUGCCAACCCGCGAGGGUGAGCUAAUCUCUUAAAGUACGUCUCAGUUCGGAUUGUAGUCUGCAACUCGACUACAUGAAGUCGGAAUCGCUAGUAAUCGCGGAUCAGCACGCCGCGGUGAAUACGUUCCCGGGUCUUGUACACACCGCCCGUCACACCAUGGGAGUUUGUAAUGCCCAAAAGCCGAGUGGCCUAACCUUUUAGGAAGGAGCCGUCUAAGGCAGGACAGAUGACUGGGGGUGAAAGUUCU
rnacentral:rRNA from 1 species